rnacentral:rRNA from 1 species
UAGGGAAUCUUCGGCAAUGGACGGAAGUCUGACCGAGCAACGCCGCGUGAGUGAAGAAGGUUUUCGGAUCGUAAAGCUCUGUUGUAAGAGAAGAACGAGUGUGAGAGUGGAAAGUUCACACUGUGACGGUAUCUUACCAGAAAGGGACGGCUAACUACGUGCCAGCAGCCGCGGUAAUACGUAGGUCCCGAGCGUUGUCCGGAUUUAUUGGGCGUAAAGCGAGCGCAGGCGGUUAGAUAAGUCUGAAGUUAAAGGCUGUGGCUUAACCAUAGUACGCUUUGGAAACUGUUUAACUUGAGUGCAAGAGGGGAGAGUGGAAUUCCAUGUGUAGCGGUGAAAUGCGUAGAUAUAUGGAGGAACACCGGUGGCGAAAGCGGCUCUCUGGCUUGUAACUGACGCUGAGGCUCGAAAGCGUGGGGAGCAAACAGGAUUAGAUACCCUGGUAGUCCACGCCGUAAACGAUGAGUGCUAGGUGUUAGACCCUUUCCGGGGUUUAGUGCCGUAGCUAACGCAUUAAGCACUCCGCCUGGGGAGUACGACCGCAAGGUUA